CUGCAGCUAGGCAACGAGUUCUUGUAACGGCGAGUAGAGGAAUCAGAGGCCUACAAAGCAUGGGCUUACAAUUGUUGACUAUGCGUCAAACGCAUGAAUUUGAGAUCUGGCAAGGGAACUUGCAGUGGAAAACAAAAAAAAAUUGGAGAUUGAAGAGAGACGAUUGGCUCUGGAGGAGCGCAAGCUGGCACUUGCCUGAAAAAAAGCACGAACUUGAGGUUACAAGUCACCAGCAGGAACGCCUGGACUUUGUGAAGCACGUGGAACAGAUGUUCGAUAAACUCAGCCAAGAAGUAACAGACCUAACAAGAAAAAUGUCUGGAAGCAGUUGAAUAAUAAAAAAGCGAUUUGUUGCACA